UACGUAGGGGGCUAGCGUUGUCCGGAAUCAUUGGGCGUAAAGAGCGUGUAGGCGGCCCGGUAAGUCCGCUGUGAAAGUCGGGGGCUCAACCCUCGAAAGCCGGUGGAUACUGUCGGGCUAGAGUGCGGAAGAGGCGAGUGGAAUUCCCGGUGUAGUGGUGAAAUGCGUAGAUAUCGGGAGGAACACCAGUGGCGAAGGCGACUUCCUGGCCUGUUCUUGACGCUGAGGCGCGAAAGCUAGGGGAGCAAACGGG
rnacentral:rRNA from 1 species